AGCCCUGUAGUGUUAUCACGUCAGAUUGCAAAUCUGAAGACGCAGUCCCUAUUCCGCCUGCCGGGGCUU
rnacentral:tRNA from 1 species